rnacentral:misc_RNA from 1 species
GUUUCUAUAUCCUACCCUGCAGAGAGGACUAACACGACCGAUAAACAAAGUAAAUAUGUUUAUUACUUCUUGAGUUUAUUGGCAAUACCCAUAGUUAUUCUCGCAUGCAUUUAUAAUCAACGGCAAAAAAAGAAAAACGGUUUUAAUCGCAUGACCAGCGACAUCAUAGAGGAACACGAUAUUUUCAACAGAUUAAAAACCUCUGUUCAUGACACUAAUAUAGAAAUGGACGAACUUGAUUCAGAAUCUAUUUAAUAUUGUAUUUCUGUAAUAUGCAUGUACUCUUAUUUUUUGUGUUCUUUUUGGAUUGUAGAAAUAAAUGUGAUAUUUCGCAUGUACGUGUUUUUCUUUUCCAAUUUGUUCCAAUUUUGAUUUUUGUUUUGCAUGAUACGAAACCUGAUGUUGUAGAUCAGCAUGUAAGUAGUUAAUUCAUUUCUUAAAUUAUAAAUUAAGUAGAGUGACCCCAGGUGGAGUUUAAAUAUAAAGUAUUCUAUUGUGUUCAUGUACAGCGUAUUUAUAAUUAAUUUUUUUUGUGUUUAAUUUUAUUACAGUCCAAGAUGCCUAUGGCCUGGCAGUCUCUGCUGUAGUAAUGGUUCUCCUCCUCCUCCUGGGAUGGAUCUUACGAUCCAUCUUAGGCCAUUUUGGAAUUAAAUGCUGCGUCCCAGUGAGGAGGGGGAGAGGACAGAGUGAUGUUGAAAACCCCCAGCCACGGGACGAGGAAACCCGCCCCAAAGAGCGUGUAUGUACAGAAGUUAACCUAAUUGAUCGUAACAAUAAAAAAAAAAGACCUCUUAAAAGCCUAUAUAUAGAAUAAAAUUUAAAAUAUAUUUUGUUUAACAGCUGGAAAUGAUGGAAUCUACUGGCGCUGGAACUGAAAGGGAUCAUGACAGACCGCUGCCACCUGGGGCAAAGGGUGGCCGACCCCGUACGAUGCCCCCCAAAAAGCUGAUCUUAACUCCACCGUCUUAUUACCUCAGAUCGUAAGUCAAAUGUUUUAUUUCAAAUCUCUCUCUCUCUCUCUCUCUCUCUCUCUCUCUCUCUCUCUCUCUCUCUCUCUCUCUCUCAGUUACAAAAAAUCCAGUAAAACGAAGACGUAUACUAGUUAUAGUCUAUUUUCUCUUUAUUUUGUUUGACCCGUCAUUGAAUAUUCUAUACAUUUAAAGGAUUUUUCUUUGAUUUUUAGCUCCAAGAAGUAAGGACAGAAAGACAAAGAAGGACUGCACUGUAGUCAAGAUAGGCUGUGCAAGCUUUUGACAUAUUGAAAAAAAAUUUGAUUAAAUUUUAUUGAAU